CAAUAGCGUAUAUUAAAGUUGUUGCAGUUAAAAAGCUCGUAGUUGGAUUUCUGGUGGGAGCGAUCGGUCUGGCGCUUAGCGCGAGUACUUGCAUCGUCUCCGGCCAUCCUUGGGGAGAGUCUGUCUGGCAUUAGGUUGUCGGGCAGAGGAUCCUCAUCGUUUACUGUGAAAAAAUUAGAGUGUUCAAAGCAGGCUUAUGCCGUUGAAUAUAUUAGCAUGGAAUAAUAAGAUAGGACUUUGGUACUAUUUUGUUGGUUUGCGCACCAAAGUAAUGAUUAAUAGGGACAGUUGGGGGUAUUCGUAUUCCGUUGUCAGAGGUGAAAUUCUUGGAUUUACGGAAGACGAACUACUGCGAAAGCAUUUACCAAGGAUGUUUNCAUUAA
rnacentral:rRNA from 1 species